rnacentral:rRNA from 1 species
UAGGGAAUCUUCGGCAAUGGGGGGAACCCUGACCGAGCAACGCCGCGUGAGUGAAGAAGGUUUUCGGAUCGUAAAGCUCUGUUGUUAAGGAAGAACGAGUGUGAGAAUGGAAAGUUCAUGCUGUGACGGUACUUAACCAGAAAGGGACGGCUAAAUACGUGCCAGCAGCCGCGGUAAUACGUAGGUCCCGAGCGUUGUCCGGAUUUAUUGGGCGUAAAGCGAGCGCAGGCGGUUAGAAAAGUCUGAAGUGAAAGGCAGUGGCUCAACCAUUGUAGGCUUUGGAAACUGUUUAACUUGAGUGCAGAAGGGGAGAGUGGAAUUCCAUGUGUAGCGGUGAAAUGCGUAGAUAUAUGGAGGAACACCGGUGGCGAAAGCGGCUCUCUGGUCUGUAACUGACGCUGAGGCUCGAAAGCGUGGGGAGCGAACAGG